CAGUCGCCGCGGGAAUACGUAGGUGGCAAGCGUUGUCCGGAAUUAUUGGGCAUAAAGCGCGCGCAGGUGGUUUAAUAAGUCUGAUGUGAAAGCCCACGGCUCAACCGUGGAGGGUCAUUGGAAACUGUUAAACUUGAGUGCAGGAGAGAAAAGUGGAAUUCCUAGUGUAGCGGUGAAAUGCGUAGAGAUUAGGAGGAACACCAGUGGCGAAGGCGGCUUUUUGGCCUGUAACUGACACUGAGGCGCGAAAGCGUGGGGAGCAAACAGGAUUAGAUACCCCCGUAGUCCCUGUCUCUUAUAA
rnacentral:rRNA from 1 species